rnacentral:rRNA from 1 species
UUCUGAAAUUAUCUUAAAAUGAAAAAAGCCCAACUCUUACGAGCUGGGCUUCAAAACUUUCGAACUUUAGCGACUGCGAACGAUUAGGUAGAGUGCGCUAAGAAGUCACAAAUUUCAGGAA